UUACGGUCACAUCACGCUGAAACGUCAGUUCCCAUACGAUCACCGAAGUUAAGCAACGUCGAGCCUGGUCAGUGCCUAGAUGGGUGACCACUUGAGCAAUACCAGCUGCUGCAAG